CGCGUAGGCGGUUUCUUAAGUGAGAUGUGCAAUCCCCGGGCUUAACCUGGGAACUGCAUCUCAGACUGGGAGGCUAGAGUGCUGGAGAGGGUGGUGGAAUUCCACGUGUAGCGGUGAAAUGCGUAGAGAUGUGGAGGAACACCAGUAGCGAAGGCGGCCACCUGGACAGUAACUGACGCUGAGGCGCGAAAGUGUGGGUAGCAAACAGGAUUAGAUACCCUGGUAGCCCACGCUGUAAACGAUGAACACUUGGUGUGGUGGGAGUUGACCCCCGCCGUGCCGUAGCUAACGCGAUAAGUGUUCCGCCUGGGGAGUACGGUCGCAAGGCUGAA
rnacentral:rRNA from 1 species